GUAUGUAACACUACCAAAUAACUCUUUCCAUGAAAUGGGAAACUUGUUAGACCUCAUGGCACAGCUGAGUUUUGUAAUAGCAAAGGAUUAUGGACCACAUGUUAAUUUAGGAUAGCAUAUAAUCACAUAAUUGUUAGAACUAUAUUUCAGAAGUUGUUAACUUUAGUAUGCAACUUUAUUUUAUACAUCAUGAUGAGAUAUGCUUUAUAGUCUGGAAGCAGGUCCCAUCAGAGAGCCUUAGGUUGCGGGGUAGAACUACUUGCUUUGAUCAAAUCAUCCAUUGAGGAAAAACAAUCAGAAGGCCUAGAUGGCAUUUUGUGAUCAAAACUACCUGUUCGGUUGACCAGAUAUCCAUUUUUCAUCUUGGUUGGGUGGAUCAUAAGUCCGGCCUAGCAUGGUGUCUUGGGUUUUAGUUCUGCCAGAGACCACAAUAGGACACAAAUCCUGCUGAUCUGACUCAUUUCAAUUCAUAUGUCAGCCCUUAUGUGGUGGUAAAAAAAAAAAAAAAAUUUAUCUUGCCAGUUUUAUUUUCCUUGGCUCUUACGUGAAGAUUAUGAAAGUUCCUUUCCCUGGAGCCUGUUACAUAAUGUGGACGCCAUAUACCAAAAGCUGAUUGAGAGGAGAAACCAAGACAGCAGGUAUGAAGCUCGUGUCACAAAAUCUGGGUUUGUCCUAAGACCUACAGAGAGCAUCCUGGAGGAAUCCACCAGAGUUAUUCCAGCAGACACUCAGAUAUAAGAGCUGGAUGGCCCCGUCCCAGGCUUAUGUGAGGUAAAAUAAGUGUUUGAAUUUUAUUAAAAAAUAACUAGUGACAUUCUCUUGCGGCGCAGUAGGUUAAUGAUCCUGCAUUGUCACUGUAGCAGCUUGGGUCACUGCUGUGGUGCAGGUUCAACCUCUGCCCUGGGAAAUUCCACAUGCUAGGGACACAGCAAAAAAAAAAAAAAAAAAAAAAAAAAAGAGUAUUUCUUACAGGCAUUAAGAUCACACAUCCAUUUAAAAAUAUUUAAUAUUCUAAGAAAAAAGAUACGGUGGAGGCUACAAAAGAUUCCGAUUGGCUCCGUUCCUUCCUCCUUUUUUCU
rnacentral:lncRNA from 1 species